rnacentral:rRNA from 1 species
GAUGAACGCUGGCGGCGUGCCUAAUACAUGCAAGUCGAGCGAACGGACGAGAAGCUUGCUUCUCUGAUGUUAGCGGCGGACGGGUGAGUAACACGUGGAUAACCUACCUAUAAGACUGGGAUAACUUCGGGAAACCGGAUCUAAUACCGGAUGAUAUUUUGACCCUCAUGGUUCAAAAGUGAAAUACGGUCUUGCUGUCACUUAUAGAUUGACCCGCGCUGCAUUAGUUUGUUGGUAAGGUAACGGCUUACCAAGGCAACGAUGGAGAGCCGACCUCAGAGGGUCGUCGGCCAGCCUGGAACUGAGGCUCGGUCCCGACUCCUACGGGGGGCCGCAGUAGGGACUCCUCCGCGAUGGGGGAGAGCCUGACGGAGCAACGCCGCGUGAGUGAUGAAGGUGUUCGGAUCGUAAAACUCUGUUAUUAGUGAAGAACAUAUGUGUAAGUAACUGUGCACAUCUUGACGGUACCUAGUCAGAAAGCCCCGGCUAACUCCGUG